GUCAGUGUGGUAUACUGGUUUGAGCAUUGGACUAUGACUCUGGAGACCAGGGUUCAAACCCCUGCUCAGCCA